rnacentral:rRNA from 1 species
GAUGAACGCUGGCGGCGUGCUUAACACAUGCAAGUCGAACGGAGUGCCCAUGACGGAGUUUUCGGACAACUGAUUGGGUUACUUAGUGGCGGACGGGUGAGUAACGCGUGAGUAACCUGCCUUGGAGUGGGGAACAACAGCUGGAAACGGUUGCUAAUACCCCAUAUGAGCGUACCUGAAAUGGUAUUCUUGAAAACUCCGGUGCUCUAGGAUGAGUCUGCAUCUGAUUAGCUAGUUGGGGGUGUAAUGGACCACCAAGGCGACGAUCAGUAGCUGGUUUGAGAGGAUGAUCAGCCACAAUGGGACUGAGACACGGCCCAU